GCCAUGAACCCGGUCGCCAUGGCCGCGGGAUUGCGGCCGCUACCUUGUUACGACUUCACCCCAGUUAUCAGACCUACCUUCGACGGCUCCUUCCUUGCGGUUAGGUCACCGGCUUCGGGCAUUUCCGACUCCCAUGGUGUGACGGGCGGUGUGUACAAGACCCGGGAACGUAUUCACCGCAGCAUUCUGAUCUGCGAUUACUAGCGAUUCCAGCUUCAUGUAGUCGAGUUGCAGACUACAAUCCGAACUGAGACGUUAUUUUUGGGAUUUGCUCCCCCUCGCAGGCUCGCUUCCCUUUGUUUACGCCAUUGUAGCACGUGUGUAGCCCAAAUCAUAAGGGGCAUGAUGAUUUGACGUCAUCCCCACCUUCCUCCGGGUUAUCCCCCGGCAGUCUCCCCUAAAAGUGCCCAUCUUACUGCUGGCUACUAAGAUAAGGGGUUGCGCUCGUUGCGGGAAUUAACCAACAUCU
rnacentral:rRNA from 1 species